rnacentral:rRNA from 1 species
UACGUAGGUGACCAGCGUUGUCCGGAUUUACUGGGCGUAAAGAGCGCGCAGGCGGUCGUUCAAGUCGAGUGUGAAAGCCCCCGGCUCAACUGGGGAGGGUCAUUCGAUACUGAUCGACUUGAAGGCAGGAGAGGGAAGCGGAAUUCCAGGUGUAGCGGUGAAAUGCGUAGAUAUCUGGAGGAAUACCGGUGGCGAAGGCGGCAUCCUGGACCGACAUUGACGCUGAACGGCGAAAGCUAGGGGAGCAAACGGG